rnacentral:rRNA from 1 species
AUUGAACGCUGGCGGAAUGCUUUACACAUGCAAGUCGAACGGUAGAGGGGGCAACCCCUCGAGAGUGGCGAACGGGUGAGUAAUAUAUCGGAACGUGCCCAGUCGUGGGGGAUAACGUAGCGAAAGUUACGCUAAUACCGCAUACGAUCUACGGAUGAAAGCGGGGGACUCGCAAGAGCCUCGCGCGAUUGGAGCGGCCGAUAUCAGAUUAGGUAGUUGGUGGGGUAAAGGCUCACCAAGCCAACGAUCUGUAGCUGGUCUGAGAGGACGACCAGCCACACUGGAACUGAGACACGGUCCAGACUCCUACGGGAGGCAGCAGUGGGGAAUUUUGGACAAUGGACGCAAGUCUGAUCCAGCCAUUCCGCGUGCAGGAUGAAGGCCCUCGGGUUGUAAACUGCUUUUGUACGGAACGAAAAGGUCUCUCUUAAUACGGGGGGCUCAUGACGGUACCGUAAGAAUAAGCACCGGCUAACUACGUG